rnacentral:lncRNA from 11 species
AUGAACAAGGAGAAAGGGAUCCUGAUCUAUGUUCUUGAUGAGUUUUGGCAAGUUGGCAGUGGCAUCCUGGACAUGUGCACCAGGGAGACAGCACACUUCCCAAUUCAUCUUGUCAGGCUGGCACACAGGUGCCUCUAUACCCAUAAACUAGGUAGGCAUGACAACCUGGAGACUUCCCUGCCGCAAGAGCAGCCUCCGCC